rnacentral:rRNA from 1 species
AAGCCUAGCGAUUGUAAAUUUAGUGGCGGACGGGUGAGUAACGCGUGGGUAACCUGCCUUGUACUGGGGGACAACAGUUGGAAACGACUGCUAAUACCGCAUAAGCGCACAGCUUCGCAUGAAGCAGUGUGAAAAACUCCGGUGGUACAAGAUGGACCCGCGUCUGAUUAGCUGGUUGGUGAGGUAACGGCCCACCAAGGCGACGAUCAGUAGCCGGCCUGAGAGGGUGAACGGCCACAUUGGGACUGAGACACGGCCCAAACUCCUACGGGAGGCAGCAGUGGGGAAUAUUGCAC